AGUGAACGCCGGCGGUAGGCCUAACACAUGCAAGUCGAACGGCAGCACAGUAAGAGCUUGCUCUUACGGGUGGCGAGUGGCGGACGGGUGAGGAAUACAUCGGAAUCUACUUUUUCGUGGGGGAUAACGUAGGGAAACUUACGCUAAUACCGCAUACGACCUACGGGUGAAAGCAGGGGAUCUUCGGACCUUGCGCGAUUGAAUGAGCCGAUGUCGGAUUAGCUAGUUGGCGGGGUAAAGGCCCACCAAGGCGACGAUCCGUAGCUGGUCUGAGAGGAUGAUCAGCCACACUGGAACUGAGACACGGUCCAGACUCCUACGGGAGGCAGCAGUGGGGAAUAUUGGACAAUGGGCGCAAGCCUGAUCCAGCCAUACCGCGUGGGUGAAGAAGGCCUUCGGGUUGUAAAGCCCUUUUGUUGGGAAAGAAAAGCAGCAGGUUAAUACCCCGCUAUUCUGACGGUACCCAAAGAAUAAGCACCGGCUAACUUCGUG
rnacentral:rRNA from 1 species